rnacentral:lncRNA from 1 species
UAUGAGCGCCAAAAAUAUCAUCUCUCAAUACCUCGUCCGGUAUGAGGGUGAAACGAGUCGUCCCCAUACCCUGUCUGACAUGAGCGCCAAAAUACCAAUCCUCGAUACCCCGUCCGGUAUGAGGCAACAUUCACAGUAGGAUUCCCUAUGUACCUAGUCCGUCCACCAUCUCCCAAAAUAUCCAGUAAGGCUACCAUUUAUUCAUUCACUUAAUCAAGCAAUUCCCCAU